GGAUGUUUUACAUCUGAGCUGUCCAAUAUUGUAGCCAUCACAUGUGGCUUUUGAGCUGAGGAAAUGUGCCUCUUGCAACUGAGGAACUGAAGUUUUAGUUUUAUUUAAUGUCAAUUAACUUAGUAACAUAGGACUAGUGGCUCCUAAAUUAAAUAGCACAGCUUAUGUAGACUGUGAGGGCUUCCCAGAAGACCUCUGUGUGCCUUAAGGUGGAUUUCAUGUGAAAGCGAGUUGUCAACAUCCUCCCACUAUCCAAGCUUUAGUCCUGAAUCAUUUCCUCUUCCGGCUCUGCUCCCACAUUGACCUGUUUUUAUUUAUAAAAUAGCUGCCAGCUAUUGAGUACUUUUAUAUGUUAGUCAUUGUACUGAGCACCUUAUUUAUUAUCUCACUUAAUCCUAGGGAGAUAGAUACCAUUACUAUCCUUAUUUUACCGAGAAGCAAAUAGAGGUACAGAGGAGUCUGGUAAAUUGUCCAUAAUCUUAUAGCUUUAAGUGGUAGAUUUAACAUUUGAACUUAUGUCUUUUAAUUCCAAAAAUUAUGCUUUAACCACUACUCAGUACAAUAUAGUCUUGUUGCUCAUACUCCCAUUUAAAUGGCCACAUCCCCUUUAGGACUUAAUUCAAGGGAAGAAAUUCCUGACUACAACAAAGAUUCUCUGAAUACAUUCAUAUUCUGCCUAUCCUAUCAUACCUCAGAUCAUUUUGGAUGAAAUAUGUGGAACUCAUUUUUUUAAACUAUUUUUUCCAAUAUGAUAUGGAAACUUGCACAAUUAUACUCUAAUUUAUAGAAUCCAUCCCUCACAAAAUACAUACACACACUCAUGUAUUAUUAAUAAUAAAUGUAUUCAAAUUACUCAUUACAUUUUUCUAGCAUAAUCCAUACUAUCUAUUAGAAAAAUAUAAUCCAACACAAUAACGAAAAU
rnacentral:lncRNA from 1 species